rnacentral:rRNA from 1 species
AUUGAACGCUGGCGGCAGGCUUAACACAUGCAAGUCGAGCGGGGGAAGGUAGCUUGCUACUGGACCUAGCGGCGGACGGGUGAGUAAUGCUUAGGAAUCUGCCUAUUAGUGGGGGACAACAUCUCGAAAGGGAUGCUAAUACCGCAUACGUCCUACGGGAGAAAGCAGGGAAUCUUCGGACCUUGCGCGAAUAGAUGAGCCUAAGUCGGAUUAGCUAGUUGGUGGGGUAAAGGCCUACCAAGGCGACGAUCUGUAGCGGGUCUGAGAGGAUGAUCCGCCACACUGGGACUGAGGCACGGCCCAGACUCCGACGGGAGGCAGCAGUGGGGAAUAUUGGACAAUGGGGGGAACCCUGAUCCAGCCAUGCCGCGUGUGUGAAGAAGGCCUUAUGGUUGUAAAGCACUUUAAGCGAGGAGGAGGCUACUCUAGUUAAUACCUAGGGAUAGUGGACGUUACUCGCAGAAUAAGCACCGGCUAACUCUGUGCCAGCCGCCGCGGUAA